rnacentral:rRNA from 1 species
GCGUGAGUGAUGAAGGUUUUCGGAUCGUAAAGCUCUGUUGUUAGGGAAGAACAAGUACCGUUCGAAUAGGGCGGUACCUUGACGGUACCUAACCAGAAAGCCACGGCUAACUACGUGCCAGCAGCCGCGGUAAUACGUAGGUGGCAAGCGUUGUCCGGAAUUAUUGGGCGUAAAGGGCUCGCAGGCGGUUUCUUAAGUCUGAUGUGAAAGCCCCCGGCUCAACCGGGGAGGGUCAUUGGAAACUGGGGAACUUGAGUGCAGAAGAGGAGAGUGGAAUUCCACGUGUAGCGGUGAAAUGCGUAGAGAUGUGGAGGAACACCAGUGGCGAAGGCGACUCUCUGGUCUGUAACUGACGCUGAGGAGCGAAAGCGUGGGGAGCGAACAGGAUUAGAUACCCUGGUAGUCCACGCCGUAAACGAUGAGUGCUAAGUGUUAGGGGGUUUCCGCCCCUUAGUGCUGCAGCUAACGCAUUAAGCACUCCGCCUGGGGAGUACGGUCGCAAG